UACGUAGGGGGCAAGCGUUAUCCGGAUUUACUGGGUGUAAAGGGGGCGCAGACGGCAGCGCAAGCCAGGAGUGAAAGCCCGGGGCCCAACCCCGGGACUGCUCUUGGAACUGCGCGGCUGGAGUGCAGGAGGGGCAGGCGGAAUUCCUGGUGUAGCGGUGAAAUGCGUAGAUAUCAGGAGGAACACCGGUGGCGAAGGCGGCCUGCUGGACUGCGACUGACGUUGAGGCCCGAAAGUGUGGGGAGCAAACAGG
rnacentral:rRNA from 1 species